ACAUCCGGCUACAUAUCGACUUCCUGUCGUCAUUGGAACUAAGAAAAACCCAAAAGUGGUCAAACAGUAAUAUAUUUUAUUAGACAGCUUUAUGGAACUACUUUGAAAAGUUGUAAUUUAUAGUUCCAGAAAUGAACGUAAAUUUUGUACAGGAAUUGUAAAUUUUCACCUUUUUUAUUGUAUCCUAAAGAAAUUUGAGAGAAGCAGAAGAGAAACUAGUUGUAAGCUGCCUAGAAAUGAAAACAGCGGAUGAUUCAAACCACUAUCAUCCUUAUGGAGCACAAGGCAGACGGACAAUUCUAGCUAACAACGCUCGUCCUGCUUCAAGUAAUCGCUAUGGUUGUCAACAUGAUCAAAUUCUUGAGUGCCCAUUGCCUCCCUACAAAGGGCCUUAUCCUAAAACGGACCUUCAAAACGCCAGGAAUAGACUAUAUGCAGAUGUGUGCUCCAAAUUUUCUUUUAAUAACAUUAUAACCUACUUAAAGCCAAAACUAGGAUUACCUCCGCGCCGUUUAGUGCAUCCUGACACCGUUACGCAAUUAUGCCAUAAAGAAGAGCCAGAUUAUUGGCAUUUAAAUUACGAAGAAGUUUUCAAUCCUCGAUUGUUUGAAAAAGAACUAGCAGCUAUUGAGGAAUCCUGCGAUGAUAAUGAAAGUGAUAAAGAUAUAACAGAGUGUGGAAACGACAAUAAAGUUGAAGAAGUUUUAGAAUGUGGGAGCGUCAAAGAUGUUGAAGAAAUUCAGAUAGAAGAUGAAACUAACGAUGUCAAGCAAGAUUCUAUCUUCGAAAAUAACCCUGAUUAUAUUGAAUUGAUAAAGUGCGACUUUUGCGACGAGAUGUCAAAGGAUGAAAAGACUUUAAAAAUUCACUUAAAAGAGAGUCGCCAUCUAUCAGCAAGUACAUAUUUCGCAAAAAAAAUUGUUGAAGAAAAAAAAUCUAUGGAAUUAUUUGCUGUCAAAGAGAGUCUAUCUGUUACUUUAGACUCUUCUGAGGCAGAUCAUAUUAUUGUUUGCCCAAGUUGUCUUUGUGUAUUUGCUGAUAUCUUCUCGUGCGGAAAGCACUAUAAGCACAAUCAUGAUCAUGAAAAGCGAAAAUAUACUAUUUGUAAAAUCAUUAAACGACAAACUGUACGCAUUCCCAUGGAACCAUCAUGUCUAAAAUGCAGCAGGAAAUUUGUUCUACAUAGUCAAUUGCAUGAACACUGGAGAAAACUACCUUCUCACUUACCUUGUGAUACUGAAGUGCAAGAAGGGUGUUUUAUGCGAUUUGCUUGUAUGGCUUGUGAGAGGGUUUCGGAAAGAAGUCUAAUUCAAGCAAAGAAUCACGCUCUAUCUUGUAGAAUGAAACGCCCGGGAAGAUUAACUGUUUUACUGCUUGUUUAUACUGUAGAAAACCCGGAAGAGAGAAAUAUAAGAACGCUUUUACCUUUUGCUAAAGAUUUCAUUUCUCUAUGAGAUUGUUUUAAUAGUUUAAAAAACGUGGAGAUUAAUGCAAAAUAUUAAUGUUUUUGUAAGUUAUAUAUGUUCCUUUUAUUGUUUUCCCAUUUAAGCCAAAUAACUUUUGUAAAUCUUCUCAUGCUAUCCAUUUAUUUUGAAUGAAAACAGAAUUUUGUACAUCGUUGCUACUUUUGUUUUGCUUUCGUUUUUCUAAAGAAGAAAUUUCUUUGCUGUUAUUUGUUAUCAAUUGAAUAGCUGAACUCAAAAAUUAAAUACAAAUUAAUGGUUUUUA
rnacentral:misc_RNA from 1 species